CUACGGGUGGCAGCAGUUAGGAAUAAUCUACAAUGCGCGAAAGCGUGAUAGUUUGAAUCUGAGUGCGUUUCAAUUUGGAAUGCUUUUGUGAAAUGUAAAAAGUUUCACGAAUAAGGACUGGGUAAGACGAGUGCCAGCCGCCGCGGUAAUACUCGCGGUCCAAGUCGCAGCCAUUUUUAUUGGGUCUAAAACAUCCGUAGCUUGCUAAUUAAGUUCCUUGUGAAAUCCUAUAUCUAAAAUAUAGGGCGGGCAGGGAAUACUACUUAGCUAGAGACUGGAAGACGUGAGGAGUACGUUCAAAGUAGCGGUCAAAUGUGUUAAUCUUGAGCGGACUAACAACAGCGAAGGCACCUCACGAGGACAGUUCUGACAGUAAGGGAUGAAAGCUAGGGGCGCAAAACGGAUUAGAUACCCCCGUAGUC
rnacentral:rRNA from 1 species